AAAAUACUCUCUCUGUUCGAAAAUAUUUGUCCUAAAAAUGAAUGUAUGUACACUUAUUUUAAUUAUAUAUACAUUUAUUUUUAAGAUAAGUAUUUUCGUACGGAGGGAGUAAUUC
rnacentral:pre_miRNA from 1 species